UCGGGUGUAGUUCAGUGGUAGAGCACUUGCCUAACUUGUAUGUGGCCCUGGGUUCAAGCCCUAGUACUCCAG
rnacentral:tRNA from 1 species